rnacentral:rRNA from 1 species
UACGUAGGGUGCAAGCGUUAAUCGGAAUUACUGGGCGUAAAGCGUGCGCAGGCGGCUUUGCAAGACAGAUGUGAAAUCCCCGGGCUUAACCUGGGAACUGCAUUUGUGACUGCAUGGCUGGAGUGCGGCAGAGGGGGAUGGAAUUCCGCGUGUAGCAGUGAAAUGCGUAGAGAUGUGGAGGAACACCGAUGGCGAAGGCAGCCCCCUGGGUCAACACUGACGCUCAUGCACGAAAGCGUGGGGAGCAAACAGG